GUUUCCGUGGCGCAAUUGGUUAGCGCGUUCGACUGUUAAUCGAGAGGUUGUGAGUUCGAUCCUCACCGGGAACG
rnacentral:tRNA from 1 species